UAAGUACGUCUUAUUUUCGCCGUUUAAGGAAGCCAUGGCUCCGUCCGAGCGGUAGACUUCGAUCGCAGCGAGCGUCCAGACUUGACCUCAGACACCUGCGCUUGGGCGGAGCGGUGUCCGAGACUCCCCGGCUAGCCGCAGAGCCGCCUGGCCAGCCCGGUGGGGACCGCAGGGGCGGGCCGGGAGCGCAGGUGGCAGCGCCCCGCGAGGGGGCGGGCUCAGCCGGACGGUCCCGCCCGGAACCCGCCGCAGCCACACACCACUGCACCUGCCCGAGAGCCCGCGGCGGUGCUGGCAGCGAGGCGCUCCGCUGAGUCCCAGCUUUGCUGCGAACCCAGCGUCCCUCCGCCGUGCGCCCCGGCGCAGCCCGCCAGCUGUCCGCCCGGAGCCCGCCCCGCCGCCGCGCUGCACGCCCGAAGUGCGUCCUCUGCCCUCGCUGGGACAGAGGGACCCGCCACCGUCAUGCUGCCGGUCAUCUACACCGUCCGGGCGGGGGUGCUGCUCCUGCCGCUUCUGGUGAACCUCUGCUGCCCCUACUUCUUCCAGGACGUAGGCUACUUCCUGCAGGUGGCCGGCAUGGCCUGGCGGGUGCGCAGCAACGGUCGGCGCCGGCCGGUGCUCACCAUCCUGGGGGUCUUCCUAGAGAAAGCGCGCCAGACUCCGCACAAGCCUUUCCUGCUCUUCGGUGAUGAGACGCUCACCUAAGCUCAGGCGGACCCGCGCAGCAACCAGGUGGCCCGGGCGCUGCACGACCCCCUCGGCCUGCGCCAGGGAGACUGCGUGGCGAUCUUUAUGGGUAAUGAGCCGGCCUACGUGUGGUUGUGGCUGGGGCUGGCCAAGCUGGGCUGUGCCAUGGCGUGCCUGAAUUACAACAUCCGCGCAAAGUCCCUGUUGCACUGCUUCCAGUGCUCCGGGGCGAAGGUGCUGCUGGCCGCUACAGAACUACAAGCAGCUGUUGAAGAGGUAUUGCCAACCCUGAAAAAAAGAUGAUGUCUCCGUCUAUUAUGUGAGCAGAACUUCUAACACAGACGGGAUCGACUCCUUGCUGGACAAAGUGGAUGAAGUGUCAGCUGAACCUGUCCCAGAGGCCUGGAGGUCUGAAGUCACGUUUUCCACUCCUGCCUUUUACAUUUAUACCUCUGGAACCACAGGUCUCCCAAAAGCUGCUGUGAUCAAUCAUCACCGCAUAUGGUAUGGAACUGCUCUUUUUGUAGCAACCAGGAUAAAGGCAGAUGAUACCAUCUAUGUCACUUUGCCCUUGUACCACAGUGCUGCACUUUUGAUUGGCGUCCAUGGAUGUAUCCUAACUGGUCCUACUCUUGCCUUGCGGGCUAAAUUCUCAGCCAGCCAAUUUUGGGAUGAUUGCAGAAAAUACAACGUCACUGUCAUCCAGUACAUUGGUGAACUGCUUCGGUAUUUAUGCAACUCACCCCAGAAGCCAAACGAUCGUGAUCAUAAAGUGAGACUGGCAAUGGGAAAUGGCUUGCGAGCAGAUGUGUGGAGAGAAUUCAUCAAGAGGUUUGGGGAUAUUCACAUUUACGAGUUCUAUGCUGCCACUGAAGGCAAUAUCAGAUUCCUGAAUUAUACAAGAAAAAUAGGUGCUGUUGGAAGAUUAAACUACCUACAGAGAAGAUUCGUAAGUUAUGACCUGAUUAAAUAGGAUGUGGUGAAGGAUCAACCUGUCCGUGAUGGAGAUGGAUACUGCAUCAGAGUUCCUAAAGGUGAAAUUGGACUCCUAGUUUGCAGGAUCACACAGCUUACACCAUUUAGUGGCUAUGCUGGGGGAAAAACUCAGACAGAGAAGAAAAAACUGAGGGAUGUCUUUAAGAAAGGAGACAUGUAUUUCAACAGUGGAGAUCUCUUAAUGAUUGACCAUGAAAAUUUCAUCUACUUCCAUGACAGAGUUGGAGAUACAUUCCGGUGGAAAGGGGAAAAUGUGGCCACCAUGGAAGUCGCUGACAUAGUAGGACUGGUUGAUUUUGUCCAGGAAGUAAAUGUGUACGGAGUGCCUGUGCCAGGUCAUGAAGGGUGAAUUGGCAUGGCUUCGAUCAAGGUGAAAGAAAACCAUAAGUUUGAUGGAAAGAAACUCUUCCAGCGCAUUGCUGAUUAUCUGCCCACUUAUGCAAGGCCACGGUUUCUAAGAAUACAGGACACCAUUGAAAUCACUGGAACUUUUAAACACCGCAAAGUGACCUUGGUGGAGGAGGGCUUUAACCCCACUGUCAUCAAAGAUGCCUUGUAUUUCUUGGAUGACACAGCCAAAACGUACGUGCCCAUGACUGAGGACAUUUAUAAUGCCAUAAGUGCUAAAACUCUGAAACUCUGAUUAUUCCCGGGAGGAUAACUCAGAAUAUUUCCUGAAAGAAAUUGAAUGGACUUAGUACAGCCACUUGAUAUAACUCAACUUUAAUUUGAUCAAAGAUUGUGAGAUGCAAUUUUUUCUUAGGAAAUUUUGCAUACCAAUAAGGGGAGACUUUUUAAAAUUACCACUGAACCUUUGCACGUGAAAAGAUUUAGAGAUAAUUAUUUUUCAAUGUGUACCUACUGUUCGUAUAUGCAAAAAGAGCCUGGCUGGAGGGAGGGUAUUAUUUUUUAAAAUAUGUAAUAAAAUAGAUGAACACCAAAAAAAAAAAAAAUAACUAAGACAAUGCCAGGAAGGCUAUGUUAAGCAGUGUGAUGAAAAUGUGUCAAACGUUCUAUAAAACCAGUGUAUGGUGCCCCAUGACUGCAUUAAUGUACACAGCUAUGA